AACGAACGCUGGCGGCAUGCCUAACACAUGCAAGUCGAACGAGACCUUCGGGCCUAGUGGCGCACGGGUGCGUACCGCGUGGGAACCUGCCCUUAGGUUCGGAAUAACUCCCCGAAAGGGGUGCUAAUACCGGAUAAUGUCUUCGGACCAAAGAUUUAUCGCCUUUGGAUGGGCCCGCGUUGGAUUAGCUAGUUGGUAGGGUAAAAGCCUGCCAAGGGGACGAUCCAUAGCUGGUCUGAGAGGAUGAUCAGCCACGCUGGGACUGAGACACGGCCCAGACUCCUACGGGAGGCAGCAGUGGGGAAUAUUGGACGAUGGGCGAAAGCCUGAUCCAGCAAUGCCGGGUGAGUGAUGAAGGCCUUAGGGUUGUAAAGCUCUUUUACCCGGGAUGAUAAUGACAGUACCGGGAGAAUAAGCUCCGGCUAACUCCGUG
rnacentral:rRNA from 1 species